AAUUUCUAACUGUCCCAAUUUCCCAAAGUUCCAAAUUCACUAAUUUGAACAGUUUUGGACAACGCGAAGACCAUAAAUGUAAAUUAUGGUUAAGCCACGCAACUUCUACUAGUUAAAAUUUUUAAUACAAUCUGAGUACAGUAAAGACUGGAUAACUGCGACAAACGAUGGACUGGAUAACUAGCAACGUUACUAUUCCCACCACUUACAAUUAGUCACACCUCCUUCGAAAUAAGGUAGAUCCACCCUUGCUGACUUUUCAUCGCAAUCAUUUAGGAAGAUGUCCUGGACCUUGUUAUCAAGAUCGGAUUCUUAUUGAGUUGGGACGAUCGUUACAGUACCACGGUUAAUUGUUACUUUCACCAACCCUAGAAAGUCUACACCGAUUAAAACAUCAUACUUUUACAGCACUUCCAACUACUUUAAACAUUUAUUUAAUGGGACAAUAUUUAAAUAUUUUAUUGAAUCUUUUAAAAGACGUCUUUUACAAUUCAAGGAUGGCAAAGGGCUGGUAACAAAUCAAUUGAACAUUAACGGCAUUCAUACAUUUCCAGCGAUGAUUCGUCUCCACUUGCAAUACCUUCAUUCACUCCAUUCACACUUCAAGAAAUUAUAAUAAACAUAUAACGGGUCUUACAAAUAAUAUUAAACCAAUAAAUGCCUACAUUUUAAUACUGUGUCCGACACUACAUGGACCGUGACAUCGUAUGAGUAACCGUCGACUACGAGUUUUCCUAUAAAUUUCCCUAACGUCUUAUAAACAGAUCCGCCUACACCUUAAAACACUAAUUCACUCGCCAAUAAUCGCGGUGCGCCAAUUUUAACAUAACACAUCGCCGUCAUAGUAGUUAAAUCGCUACCCGUAUCGACCAACGCCGGCAUAUUGUGAUCGUUUAACCUCACCAUUUUGCAACUCUUCUCUGUUGUCGGUAGUUCUACAUAAUUCGUACUCCGGGUUGCUUGCCUUUCAUCGUGCUUGUUACACUCUGGAGCGAUAUGUCUAUAUCCGCUGCAAUGAUAGCAUUUAACCCCGAGUUCUUUUGCGGGGCAGUUCCUGCUAAUAUGCCCUGCUCCUCCACAGUUAAAGCACCUAUCCGAUCCUCUCCUUGGCGCCCAUUCGUCGACUCUUCUGACUCCUGUAGUACUUGCCAUCGCCGCAGCCACAGGUUUUGGAUGAUUUAUUCGUACGCCACCAACCUAGUUCCCUGAUGGUAGUGAAAGCUUCUCGAACGCUCGCAAUAACGCAUCCGGGAUAUAAAGCAUGGUUCCUUGCUUGGUUCCAGAGCAUAGGAUCUGGGAUCCCUUCGACCAGAUACUCAACAAGCUCGAUCUGGUCCUCCACCGGCACCCUGUUUGCUUUAAUAAUCUUAUCAUAAAAAUAUUCGUCAAACGGCUCACCCCUUUUUCAAGUCUGCUCCUGCAACUGUUGGCGCACUGCAACCAUGCUCGGCCUAUGAUGGAACAUCUCUUUGAACCGGUCAAGCAGCUGUUUAACGUUCAUUUCAAUGAAUUUUGGACGAGACUGCAUCCAUUCCUGAGCCUUUCCUUGCAGUCUCAUUUCUGUCAGAACCUUCACCUCUUCGUCCUCAAGCCGGUACGUUGCCUGCAGCAUCUGUAUUUGCUUGGCCCAGCUUGGAAAAUCUUCCGAUUUCCCGUCGAAGAAUUUUAGCAGCUCUGCGACGGUUGCCACCCCUAUCCGACUGCUACGCACUGCCACCUACUCUCCUGUAACACUCGGACGCUCCAUUCUUACCAUUUCAAGUUCACGCCGUGUAACUGCUAGCUCGCGUUUCAUCAGAGCAUUUUCUCAUCACAAAAGAUCAAUUUCGAAAUGACUUCUUUCAAGUUCUUCAUCAUUCCUCAUUGUCAAAGGAGCGCUUACACCACCAAUUGCUCCUUCUUUUUCUUCCGUGACGAACACGCUUUCAUUGCUUGGAUCGCUCUCCUUGUUCGAAGCACUCAUUCAACGAUCCGACGGAUCGUGUUCGUGUAACCGCGCUAUUAGCUCGGUCUUAUUGUUAGUUCCUGAUGUAUUUAGCCCGUAAGCUCGCAGCAUGUCCUUCAAUUCUGAGACAGUAUGUCCUCCUGCUUCUUUAGCUGGCAUAUUUCGUCCUUAUUUUAAAAUGCUCGACUCUUUGCACACACCAACAAUGCAAAUAACUACUCAAUCUUUUCGGAUCCUUUUCUUUUUUCUUUUCUUUCACAAAAUUGUAGAAAUUAAGAUGGAAUGAAUGGUAUUGCACUGUUUUGUAUUGGAUUUUUGCGAAACACUUUUUAUUAUUUAUCAGAAACUUUAACACUUUUAAAAGAAGGAAAUAAAAACCAAAAAACUAACAAUAACUAAAGGAACAAACUUUACUUAAUACUGUUUAAAAAAAACACCGAACUUCUAAAAUGCCUUUUCCGCCUUUAUUUCGCCUAUUUCCAAAAUGUCCUACUUUCGCCGCGGUCUCUAAUCACCAACGCUCCUUUUUUAUGUUUGCCUUUCUUCAAAAAACAUGGAUCAAUACUCGCUUGCUUUACAACGCCUUGAAACGUCGGUAACUUUUAUAACAAUUUACAACAUUUAUUACCGACCUUCGGUCACUUUCUCAUUCUUUCCCAUUCCCGCAGAAAGUUACUAGGCUUUACUUAAUGCCCACUGAAAAAACACUAUACGAUUACGGACAUCACUUCUACGAAGUGCUUAAUGUAAUGAUACAUAAUAAGGGUGAAAAUGGUGACGAUGGAGUAUACGUAAAAUACUUGACUGUGAGAUAUGCUACGCUCAUGUGUCAUUUGACGGGAACUCAUCUGCGGAUUAUUUGCUACUGUACCUAAAAAUAUACGUUUGAUUUGUCAAAAGUACAAUGGCGUAGCAUAUUAUAAAAGACUUGACUGUAAUUCUCGAAUUCACAGUUCUAAACCUCUAAAACCUUAACCCAUUAAACUUAACCAAUUAUUCUGAAAUUAUGACACCUUGAAUUCCAAAUACGUGAACAGUAGAACCAGUAAAUUUAAAAAGUAUUCUAGUUAAAAUUUCAGGUUGUAUAGGUUAUGCUUAAUGGGUUUAACACUUUAGAGGUUUAAGGUUUAGAGGUUAGAAUUUUAAAUUCGAGAGUUCUAGUUAAGUUUUUUACAAUAUUAUAGUAAAAAGUGAUGUUUUAUCGAGUUUUACUAUUUUCUCGAGUUUCUUGAUCAGAUAAUGUAAAACCUGCACAUUUUAAAGGACGUAUGCAGCGUUCAUUUUGGAAGUAACAUAACCCAGAUGAAACAAAACUGUAUUCCGAUAUUCACCGGAUUCAUCUUGAAAUCCUCUGACAGAUAGAUGUAAACAAAUUAUAUGUUCAUUUGCAAAAAAUUCAUGGUAACCUUGGAAAAACACUUAAAAAAAGAGUUGAGAAAUAAUUCUAGACGAGACUUUUAUAAAAUAGUCACGUAGCUGAUAAAAACAUUUUCGAUCGGACUACUAAUAACAGAGUAAUUUCCACUUGUCGCGAUUCGUGAUUCAUGUUGUUUUAUCUUUUACAGUUGUACUUGUUGUGGAAAUAGUGUGUGCAAAUAUAUUUAUCUAUUGAUGUGAUGGAUGUUCAACUUUGACGCACUAGCAGUGCAGGGAUUUAAUAUGUAGAUAAAAAUAAUGUUAAAUAGUGACUAAUAUAGACUAAUAUAGACUAAUUCUAAGGCUAGUGUUGAUCGAAUAGAACUUCAAGCUGAUCUUACUUAAACAGUAAUCAACUCACGUUGUAUAGGAGGUGUUCACGUCAAAGUGAAAUUUUGUACUGUUUAGAAGGUAUGGUAACAAAAAAGUUUAUAUACUGCCCCAAAGAGUCAUUUGUUGUUCAAUUUCCCACGGACGAGGAAGUUUUGUUAAAUAUAUCAAAUGACAACAUUGUAAAAGCGUGUGUCCAUGCAUGAGUUGCAUGUGUGCGUGUCCAGUGUAUGAAAUGUAAUUAGCGCCGUACGACGCGUUUCCAGACAUUUAAAAAACAGAACAUACGAGGCUAUUCAGUGUCUGUCCGUUUGCAAAUGAUGAAACAUUGUGUGUCAAAUUAAUUAAAUCAUCAUACGAGGUGCGAUCAUUAAAUUCCGGGAUUGUGUCUACUAUGACCAAACGGAUCACACGAUUGAUAUACGCUCGCAGAACAUAAGAAUAACAAUAUUCCAGACAUAUGACACGAAGUUUGGAAGCGAUAUCUUUAUUGAAUCCUGUGUUAUACAAGUUUAUGGCAGCAUACGCACGCUCUCCUUUGCGAAAUCACGAUGGACUCCAAAUUGGAACAAAGAGACAAAAAAAAAAGAAACAUGGAAAAUUGUCGUCCUUGUUCACCCUUCGUAUUCAUCAGAUUUGGAACCCUGUUAUUUCUUUUUGUUUCCCAAAAUGAAAUUAAAGAUCAAGGGUCGCCGAUUUGAUACGGUGCGGUGGACGAGAUUCAACGCGAAUCGCAACAGGUGCUUGACACGCUUCUACAAGAAGACUUCUAGGAAUCUUUCCAAAAAUGGCAGAGGCUCUGGGAUCGGUGCAUAGGUGCACAAGGCGACUACUUUGAAGGGAAUAGUAGCCAAAUUUGAAACAGGUGACUUUAUCUACAUAUACAGGAUCAGUCCCGGAACUUAAUGAUCGCACCUCGUAUUACUAUUAAUCCAAACUCUAUUUUCCUUGUCAUUCAUAUAGCAUGUUAUUCCUAUUCAAAAUAUCAUGCCAACCCCGUUUCUAAAAAGUUUCUAGAAUACUGAUAUCUAACUGUGCCUGUUCUUUUGAGUGUGUCAAUUUCUCAGAUUUUGGAAAUUUGUGAUAUAAAUACGCCUAGUCCUUUAAUUGCAUCGCCUGCUUUCUGAGAACAAAUGUCAAUUUUUUUUGUGUGAGUGUUUUUCUUUUGAGCGAUGUGACAUUUCAAAUCACUAAAUUCUUAGGACAUGGGGUCUCUAUGUAAAAGUGGUCAAGAAAGUCAUUUUUUUUCUUAUUGUUUAGAAAGUUACUUUGAAACCUAUAGAAUACGAAACGCAUUGAUAUUUGGAGUGAAUCACAAAGCUAUUGUUGUGGGAGCCUAAACCCAUCCACUGUUGCAUCGAUCUGAGACGCGCACGGUGGUAUAAUGAUCGGGGAGGUGUUUAUUUAAUGUUUGAAGUGCUUCUAUACCUGUAACAGAGUUUAGUCAGAUAUUCUAGAAGAAGUACUUACACGAAAUUCCCAAAGUAAUGUUGAAUAUUGCUAUACACGAUUAUUCAAAAACUACUCAACUGAUCGGACUGAAAUGUUGUAUACAUUUUAAAAGAAGUAAUGUCUCCUGGAUAAACAUCAAAAUAACAAGAACAGACACUAGAGUGUACACCAUUUUAGAAGACGCUUUACGAUGCUUUUAACGCAUCAUACUGUACCUCUGCCAUUUUGUACUUUAUUUAAUAAAAAAAAAAUGUGAAAUGAAGUUGAAGUGUUUAGUAAGUAGUCCUCAAAUAUUUACAAAUACUUAUUCAUUUUUCAUCUCGUUUGCGAAAUUGCAAACGUUGUUGAAGGUCAUUUUUAUUUUGUCAAUGAAGUGUAAUGUCAGACGGAUGAAGUUUGUUAACGUGAAGUGUUUGCAAAGUACAUCGUCUGUUAGUUACAGCCGUGUAACGUUUAUCGGGUUGUCAUCAUCAGCUGCUCUUUUGACUUGAUUCCGUAUUUUGUUACCCGCACUUCCGACUUCUUAGGAUACUUUUAUAAUAUUUGAGAUGAAAAUGUAGUAGUUGAAAUUGAGGAAUCAAAAAUCGUAAGACGCAAAUGUAAUAAAGAACAUCUUAGCCGACAAUGGAUUUUUGGCAACGUCGAAUGUUUAUUUAUUGAAUCAGUUUUGGAUGGUUCUUCAGUUACAUCAUAUCGAUGGAAUUUUUAUAAUUGUCUUAGAAAAGAACGAUAUAAACAUUUAACUAUGAACCACAGACUAAAUUACAUUGAAUAGUUGUAUACAUAUUCGAAACAUUGAACAUUAUCUUCAAAUAAAAGACAAUAAGGUCACGAUAUGGAAUGUGGAUAGAACAUUAUAUCGGUUACAUUGUUGAAUUUUUGUUUUGGGGGAAAUAUGAUUUCAAUGCAACAAUAACUGCAUUCUUUAUUGCAUAUAAUGGCAGACACUUUUCCAAUUUUGCUUAAUAAUAAUUGAGACUAAAGUUUAUUAUCUUAUCUUCGGCUUAACCCAAGGCUAAUUCAGACAUGUGUACGUCCCCGGGAAAAUCAAACGGAUCCUGUCGAUAAAUAAAGAAACAUGCUAAUGCGUAUAUCUUUUUCUAUUCUAUUACCGACCGCAAAUUACCGACUGCGCCAUAAAAAUUCGCGUGGUAAUGGGAUGGGGUAGAUCACGCGUGCAACAUUGUUUAGAGUAGAUCACCGAUCGAUGGCGCGCGCGUUAGUUAGAAAGAGACAGCAGAUAUACUU